rfam:Jatropha curcas cultivar GZQX0401 scaffold123_21, whole genome shotgun sequence.
AAGCUGUGACGUGGGCACUUUCUCAAUAAGUCCUUGAAUCUCUCCCAAACUUCGUAUAAACUCUCUUGGUCAUGGUGGACAAAGGUCCUUAUCUCGUUGCGUAGUUU